GAUGAACGCUGGCGGCGUGCCUAAUACAUGCAAGUCGAGCGAACAGACGAGGAGCUUGCUCCUCUGACGUUAGCGGCGGACGGGUGAGUAACACGUGGAUAACCUACCUAUAAGACUGGAAUAACUUCGGGAAACCGGAGCUAAUACCGGAUAAUAUAUUGAACAGCAUGGUUCAAUAGUGAAAGACGGUUUUGCUGUCACUUAUAGAUGGAUCCGCGCCGCAUUAGCUAGUUGGUAAGGUAACGGCUUACCAAGGCAACGAUGCGUAGCCGACCUGAGAGGGUGAUCGGCCACACUGGAACUGAGACACGGUCCAGACUCCUACGGGAGGCAGCAGUAGGGAAUCUUCCGCAAUGGGCGAAAGCUUGACGGAGCAACGCCGCGUGAGGGAUGAAGGUCUUCGGAUCGUAAAACUCUGUUAUUAGGGAAGAACAAAUGUGUAAGUAACUAUGCACGUCUUGACGGUACCUAAUCAGAAAGCCACGGCUAACUACGUG
rnacentral:rRNA from 1 species